GUCAAGUCCGGGAGUCACCAGGUGCCACCCCAACCCUUGGUCUAUGGUAAUUUUCAUACCUCUCCCCUUCCUUCUCACCCUCCCUUGCUGGACUUCCAGAGUUUCUGCCCCUUCACUGCCUUUUUCCCCUUUCUUCAGGGCCUCUUUUUUUCCCCCAGGGUUGAGGCCUUAGAUCCCUGGGCUGUGUCCUCGCUGGUUAGGGAGUGGGGUGCGGGUGGGAUGUGCUAAAAACGCAAGCUAGUUCCUGGCCUAGAUUUAUUUUUCUGAUUGAUUUAUUUUUAGAGGCACGGUCUUGCUAUGUUGCCCAGACUGGACUUGAAGUCCUGGGCUCAAGAGAUCCUUCUGCCUCAGCCUCCCGAGUAGUUGGGACUAUAGGUGCAUGCCACUGUGCCUGGCCUGGAUUUGGUUUUGACAUUUACUCUGCCAUUUCGGCAACUAAAGGCUCUCUGGACAGGGUGGACAGUUAUGAAAGUCCAGUUGCGGUGACAAGAGUUACCCCACAAUCAAAU
rnacentral:lncRNA from 10 species